UGAGGAAUAUUGGUCAAUGGGCGAGAGCCUGAACCAGCCAAAUCGCGUGAAGGAAGACUGCCUUAUGGGUUGUAAACUUCUUUUAUACAGGAAUAAAAAAGGGGACGUGUCCCUUAUUGCAUGUACUGUAUGAAUAAGCAUCGGCUAACUCCGUGCCAGCAGCCGCGGUAAUACGGAGGAUGCGAGCGUUAUCCGGAUUUAUUGGGUUUAAAGGGUGCGCAGGCGGGCUUUUAAGUCAGCGGUGAAAUCUCGGGGCUUAACUCCGAAACUGCCGUUGAAACUGGGAGUCUUGAGUAUGGAUGAAGUAGGCGGAAUUCGUUGUGUAGCGGUGACAUGCUUAGAUAUAACGAGGAACUCCGAUUGCGUAGGCAGCUUACUAAGCCAUAACUGACGCUCAAGCACGAAAGCGUGGGGAUCAAACAGGAUUAGAUACCCUGGUAGUCCACGCCGUAAAACGAUGAUUACUAGUUGUAUGCGAUAUACCGUAUGUGACUAAGCGAAAAGCGAUAAGUAAUCCACCUGGGGAGUACGCCGGCAACGGUGAAACUCAAAUGAAUUGACGGGGUCAUAGCUGUUUCCUG
rnacentral:rRNA from 1 species